rnacentral:rRNA from 1 species
UACGGAGGGAGCGAACGUUGUUCGGAUUUACUGGGCGUAAAGGGUGUGUAGGCGGUCUUGCAAGUCAGGGGUGAAAUCUCUCGGCUCAACCGAGAAACUGCCUUUGAGACUGCAGGACUUGAGGGCGUGAGAGGAGACUGGAAUUUACGGUGUAGCGGUGAAAUGCGUAGAUAUCGUAAGGAAGACCAGUGGCGAAGGCGGGUCUCUGGACAGUUCCUGACGCUGAGGCACGAAGGUCAGGGGAGCAAACGGG